GGCGAUUUUAGCAUGGAAAUAUUGGUGAGGCAAACAAUUGUAUGUUUUAUUUAUUUAUGCCAGCAAAGCCACUACACAACACUACACAAUACAUUAAUUGCACUAUAACGGUGACAUACAAUGGUGUAAAGUACUUAAGUAAAAAAUACUUUAAAGUACUACUUAAGUCGUUUUUUUGAGUAUCUGUACUUUACUUUACUAUUUAUAUUUUUUAUGACUUUUACUUAUACUUCACUACAUUCCUGAAGGAAAUAAUAACAUAGCUAAUAUGGCUGAUUUGCUUAAACAAAUGUGGUUUCUAUUGACAAUUGACAUGUACAAACUAUGGCAUAAGGGGACAACGAGCGGAUAAGAGGCAAUCCGUAAUUUCGAUAAAGACCUUAAUGAGUGAGCUGGGACGGAUGUAGUCAAUAUAACUAUUUGUUCAACACUUUUGAAAUGUACAGCGACAGAAUUCAGAACAUGGGCCAUUCUUACAGUAUUCUCCCUGUACACCAAGUCAGAGCCAUAGGAUAAAUAAAGGCAUAUAUUUUUUUAUUUUACCUUCAUUUAACUAGGCAAGUCAGUUAAGAACAAAUUAGCUUCACUCUUGUGUAUUUUAUUUGUCUUUGUCGCGUGUUAAUAUUAUUUUGUUUAACUCGGCAUCAUUGGGUUGUAUUCUGGGUCAUGUGACAAAUACUAUUUAUUUUGUAGUGGAGGAGGGCAACAACAUUAACAAACGUGUGGUCCUGAGCAAAGACUUAUUGUUCAGAUUUGAAGGGGUCUAGUGACAUCUAGUGGUCAACACAUGCAUAGCCUGUGAGGUGGUUAAUGGAAACACAAUUUCACCUGUAUUUGGAAAACAGUAUAAAAGUGGGACAAAGAGUACAAAUGUGUAGGCAUUGGGGUAAAAAUGAGGACAAACAUUUUGCAAAGUAUGAGGUUUCCCCCAAGACUAAUGGUUUGUCUGGAUGGGCUCAUUUCAGACACAUAAAAUUAGUACUUGUCUCCCUUCACCAACAGAUGUCUCCCUAGACUUUGAAAAUGGACUCGUCACAAUUGCAAGUUGGGAUUCUUGGGACAUACAUACCAUAAAGCCUAACCCUAACCUUAACCCCUAUCCUAUCCUACCCUACCCUUACCUAACCUUAACCAUAACCUUUGGUAUUUGGUAUGUUAUUAGGAUUCCCAAUUAGCUGUUGAGAAAGCAGCAGCUACUCUUCCUGGGGUCCAACACAGAACAUGAACCAUGACAUAAUACAGAACAUUAUUAGACAACAGCUCAAGGACAGAACUAUAUCAACACCUUAAUAACCCUUAACCCUUAACCAUUUUAAAUAUCAACUUCAACGGGGUGACGUCAGAGUUGGGACAUCCCAAGAAUCCCAUUUAGAACAUGUCUCAUAUUACACGAAACGUUUAGGCUACAUAAUGUGACUUUUCUAUGUACAUGGAUUACACAGGUCAAACUAAACCAGUCGUCUAUUAGACUGUCCACCUCCAAAGAGCAGGCGAUGUAGACCUAUUCAUGGAAACCAGAAGCAGUUAGCUUGUCUGUCUAGACUGAGACAGAGAGCAGGCUUGUCUGUCUAGACUGAGACAGAGAGCAGGCUUGUCUGUCUAGACUGAGACAGAGAGCAGGAUUGUCUGUCUAGACUGAGACAGAGAGUAGGCUUGUCUGUCUAGACUGAGACAGAGAGUAGGCUUGUCUGUCUAGACUGAGACAGAGAGCAGGCUUGUCUGUCUAGACUGAGACAGAGAGUAGGCUUUUCCGUCUAGACUGAGACAGACAGCAGGCUUGUCCGUCUAGACUGAGACAGAGAGUAGGCUUGUCCGUCUAGACUGAGACAGAGAGUAGGCUUGUCCGUCAAAGACUGAGACAGAUAGCAGUCUUGUCUGUCUAGACUGAGACAGAGAGUUGACUGAAACAGAGAGUAGACUGAGACAGAGAGUAGACUGAGACAGAGAGUAGGCUUGUCCGUAUAGACUGAGACAGAGAGUAGACUGAGACAGAGAGCAGGCUUGUCCGUCUAGACUGAGACAGAGAGCAGGCUUGUCCGUAUAGACUGAGACAGAGAGUAGGCUUGUCUGUCUAGACUGAGACAGAGAGUAGGCUUGUCUGUCUAGACUGAGACAGAGAGUAGGCUUGUCCGUCUAGACUGAGACAGAGAGUAGGCUUGUCCGUCUAGACUGAGACAGAGAGUAGGCUUGUCUGUCUAGCCUGAGACAGAUAGCAGGCUUGUCUGUCUAGACUGAGACAGAGAGUAGGCUUGUCUGUCUAGACUGAGACAGAUAGCAGAUAGGCUUGUAGCUGGUCCUCCUCUAGGGGGUAGCUGGUCCUCCUCUAGGGGGGUAGCUGGUCCUCAAAUAGGGAGGUAGCUGGUCCUCCUCUAGGGAGGUAGCUGGUCCUCCUCUAGGGGGGUAGCUGGUCCUCCUCUAGGGGGUAGCUGGUCCUCCUCUAGGGGGGUAGCUGGUCCUCUUCUAACUAUGUUGAUAUUUAUCACACAUUUUAGUUUCAGAGCUCAGCUAAAAAAGUGUGAACUUUUUUUUUGUAUUUCUGUUCAGUUCUAUUUGUGGACCACAGGAAGGGCUUCUGCAUGUACAGCGGCUAAUGUUGCUCCUCAUCAACUAAACUAAACCAUUCAAAUCAAAUCAAAAUGUAUUGGUCACAUACACAUGGUUAGCAGAUAUUGCGAGUGUAAUGAAAUGAUUGUGCUUCUAGUUCCGACAGUGCAGUAAUAUCUAACAGGGAAUCUAACAAUUCCACAACAACUACCUAAUACACACAAAUCUAAGUAAAGGAAUGGAAUAAGAAUAUAUACAUAUAAAUACUGUAUAUGGAUGAGCAAUGACAGAGCAGCACAGGCAAGAUGCAAUAGGCGGUAUAAAAUACAAUAUAUACAUAUGAGAUGAGUAAUGCAAGAUAUGUAAACACUAUUAAAGUGGCAUUAUUAAAGUGACUAGUGAUCCAUUUUUUAAAGUGGCCGAUUAGUCUGUAUGUAGGCAGCUGCCUCUCUUAGUUAGUGAUGGCUGUAUAACAUUCUGAUGGCCUUGAGAUUCUAUAUGCAUUCUGAGCGUUUUGUCAGUAACAUAAAGACAGCAUCUGACACAAUAUAGAGUUUUUCUCCAACAUCCAAUGAACGUCCUGUCAAGUGUUUUUUUAAUUUGAUUAUUUUUAUCCAAUUAGAUCAGCGCAUGGUUUUAUCAUCUGCUUACAGGAAAUCCCCCAAGAUGUAUCGAGGUCAUAUCAGACUCAGAGAUCCUGUCACGAAACAGAAAAUAAAGUGAAUGUAUCUGUUUUGUACCGUAGCAGUUUGUUGUUUCCUUUCUGUAUCCAGGCGAUGUAGGGCAACACACCAGAUGUUGAUGACUAAACCAUGUUUGUUCUGUCAGGUGGACGCUGAUUGAGAUAUCCCACCCACCCAACCACUCCUGAAUGAAUGAAUGCGUUUCUAUGGUGACCUAAACUCUCAACUGGAGCACACGCUGCUUUCACUUCAUUACACCUACGUUCCAAAUGGAACCCUAUUCCCUAUAUAGUGCACUACUUUAGACCAGAGUCCUAUGGAACCCUAUUCCCUAUAUAGUGCACUACUUUAGACCAGAGUCCUAUGGAACCCUAUUCCCUAUAUAGUGCACUACUUUUGACCAAAGCCCCACGAGCCACUCCCCUACACAACAUUUACACAACGACUCUCUCAUCUGUCCAUUGAUGGAUCUGAAUACAGCUGGAAUAUUUUCAAGGAGUUCUAGUUUUAGAUAACCAGUUUGUUUACCACAAUCAAAUCAAAUCAAAUUUUAUGAGUACUGUAGUAUACUUCCCUCUCUCUCCCAGCAAACAGACCAUACAAACCAUUACUGUAGUAUACUUCCCUCUCUCUCCCAGCAAACAGACCAUACAAACCAUUACUGUAGUAUACUUCCCUCUCUAACCCAGCAAACAGACCAUACAAACCAUUACUGUAGUAUACUUCCCUCUCUAACCCAGCAAACAGACCAUACAAACCAUUACUGUAGUAUACUUCCCUCUCUAACCCAGCAAACAGACCAUACAAACCAUUACUGUAGUAUACUUCCCUCUCUAACCCAGCAAACAGACCAUACAAACCAUUACUGUAGUAUACUUCCCUCUCUAACCCAGCAAACAGACCAUACACACCAUUACUGUAGUAUACUUCCCUCUCUAACCCAGCAAACAGACCAUACACACAGGCAAUAUUGUACACACUAAUGUUAAAUGUAUCUGGAAAAUAGUACACAACUCCAAGUGCCACUAUUCUGGAUUUAAUUAUCAUUGUUAAACAUCAUCAUAUAAUAUUAAAAACAGCAACUCACCUAAUGUACAAUACAGUACUACACUUACAUGCAAAUUGCCCAAUAGCCAGCUAUGCCCAGGCCAACAAAACACAACGAGAAAAAUAUAAGCAUCAUUCACAACACAGUCUUGAACAUUGAGCCUUCUCCUGCUUUUUCAAAUAGAUACACUUUAAUUUACCAGUAGGCUACCUGUAUUAUUCUGUAUUAAUUUACCAGUAGGCUACCUGUAUUAUUCUGUAUUCAUUUACCAGUAGGCUACCAGUAUUAAUUUACCAGUAGGCUACCUGUAUUAUUCUGUAUUCAUUUACCAGUAGGCUACCUGUAUUAUUCUGUAUUCAUUUACCAGUAGGCUACCUGUAUUAUUCUGUAUUAAUUUACCAGUAG
ensembl:lncRNA